rnacentral:tRNA from 1 species
AGGGUAAUAGUUAAAUAUAACAUUUAAUUUGCAUUUAAAAAGUGUCCUUAGACUUACCUUA